rnacentral:lncRNA from 1 species
CAAGCUGCCAUGAGGUUAGGCAUUUUAUGGUGGGGGAGCCAACAGCAAUCAUUGCCCUAGGGUUAGAUCAUGUUGGGGAUUUGGUGGAGGAAGGAGGAGUAGCUGAUUUUGGGGAAGGAGGAGCUGUAGGCUUUGACGAGGAGAUGGUGUGGGUUUGGGGCAGUGGCAUCUAGUGAAGAGCAACUGUGGUGGAGGAGCAUUUGGGGCUGGAAGACGAGCACUAGGUCCAGCUGUCGCUCGAGGAGGUAGGCUGCCUUGGGGCUAAGGCCGUGGAGAUGCCGAUUUCUUGAAUCUUGGACAUAUUCAAAUGCUCUUUUGAAGACAUUUUAAAGUAAGUCAGGUGUGAAGUCACUAGUGUUUUACGUUAAAUUUUUACCACAAAAACUUUUGCAGGUGGGACUUAAAUCUUAAAACAACCUAAAAAUUACUAAUGCAACAAUCACAAAAAUCAAAAUACACAUUUUAAAAUAUUUUUAUAUAAAGCGCAAGUGUGAAUGGAGCCAUUCGCACUUGCGAAUGGCUCCAAAUCAUAAAUCAUCCAAAUGGCU